rnacentral:ncRNA from 1 species
GUCGCAAACGUGGGAGAGUGCAGCGCCUGAUGCGUUGCCGCCGAAGGCGCAAAUCCGCCCGGAAUCGCUCAGGCCCAUGGACCGCGUGCGCGAA